GAGCUGGUCUGAGAGGAUGGUCAGCCACACUGGGACUGAGACACUGCCCAGACUCCUACGGGAGGCUGCAGUCGAGGAUCAUUCGCAAUGCGCGAAAGCGUGACGAUGCGACGCUGCGUGGAGGAUGACGGCCUUCGGGUUGUAAACUCCUGUCAUCCGGGAAAAACUGUCCCGGUAUUAAUAGUAUCGGGAUUUGAUGGUACCGGAGGAGGAAGCCACGGCUAACUCUGUGCCAGCAGCCGCGGUAAUACAGAGGUGGCGAGCGUUGUUCGGAUUUACUGGGCGUAAAGCGUGCGUAGGCGGCUUCGUGUGUCGGAUGUGAAAUCCCAUGGCUCAACUGUGGAAUGGCAUCCGAAACUACGGGGCUUGAGUGCAGGAGGGGAGAGUGGAAUUUCUGGUGUAGCGGUGAAAUGCGUUGAUAUCAGGAGGAACACCGGUGGCGAAGGCGACUCUCUGGAAUGUUACUGACGCUGAGGCACGAAAGCGUGGGGAGCAAACAGGAUUAGAUACCCUGGUAGUCCACGCCGUAAACGUUGCGCACUUGGUGUUGGAGGUAUUGACCCCUUCAGUGCCGGAGCUAACGCGUUAAGUGCGCCGCCUGGGGAGUACGGCCGCAAGGUUAAAACUCAAAGAAAUUGACGGGGGCCCGCACAAGCGGAGGAGCAUGUGGCUUAAUUCGAUGCAACGCGAAGAACCUUACCAGGGCUUGACAUGCAACUGCACGUCCCGUGAAAGCGGGAUUCCUUUGAGGAUGUUGCACAGGUGCUGCAUGGCUGUCGUCAGUUCGCGCCGUGAGGUGUUGGGUUAAGUCCCGCAACGAACGCAACCCUUGUGUUUAGUUGCCACCGCCGGUGAUGAAUCGGCGAGCACUCUAGACAGACUGCCUGUACAAGCAGGAGGAAGGUGGGGAUGACGUCAAGUCAGUAUGGCCCUUACGCCCUGGGCUGCACACGUGCUACAAUGGCCGGUACAGAAGGAUGCAAGACCGCGAGGUGGAGCAAAUCCCCAAAACCGGCCUCAGUUCGGAUUGGAGUCUGCAACUCGACUCCAUGAAGUCGGAUUCGCUAGUAACGGCGCAUCAGCUACGGCGCCGUGAAUACGUUCCCGGGCCUUGUACACACCGCCCGUCACAUCAUGAAAGCCGUCUGCACCCGUAGUCGCUGAGCCAACCCGCAAGGGAGGCAGGCGCCGAAGGUGUGGGUGGUGAUU
rnacentral:rRNA from 1 species